UGUUUAACUAAUUUUUUGCCUCAUCCAUAUUCAGAUGACUCUUGGAAUCAGACAGCGGUUAAACUUUCGCGCUGAAGACGUGCAGACGUGAUCGCCAGAAUGUCGCACCUGAUUCCCGAACCCAGAGGAGAGUUUUAGCGCUCAGAUGUUGCUCUUUUGACACUCCAGAGACUUGAAGGCAUCAUGAAAUUUACAUUAUUUGCUUUUGCGACGCAUGUCUGUGGUCUCGUCGUGCGUGAUUCAUCAGUACACGCUGUUUCAAAAGGACAAAAAGCAAAGCCAAGCUGAAUUAUUCACAGGUCGCUCAUUCACAGCUCAAAAGACUUAAUGGAGAUCCUAGUUGUGUUUCAUGCAAAAAUGCCCAUCCAAACUGAAUUGCUCACAGGUUGCUCAUUCACAGCUCAAAAGACCUAAUGGAGAUCCUAGU